rnacentral:rRNA from 1 species
AUUGAACGCUGGCGACAUGCCUUACACAUGCAAGUCGAACGGCCGCACGGGUGCUUGCCCCUGGUGGCGAGUGGCGAACGGGUGAGUAAUACAUCGGAACAUGUCCUGUAGUGGGGGAUAGCCCGGCGAAAGCCGGAUUAAUACCGCAUACGAUCUACGGAUGAAAGCGGGGGACCUUCGGGCCUCGCGCUAUAGGGUUGGCCGAUGGCUGAUUAGCUAGUUGGUGGGGUAAAGGCCUACCAAGGCGACGAUCAGUAGCUGGUCUGAGAGGACGACCAGUCACACUGGGACUGAGACACGGCCCAGACUCCUACGGGAGGCAGCAGUGGGGAAUUUUGGACAAUGGGCGAAAGCCUGAUCCAGCAAUGCCGCGUGUGUGAAGAAGGCCUUCGGGUUGUAAAGCACUUUUGUCCGGAAAGAAAUCCUUGGCCCUAAUACGGUCGGGGGAUGACGGUACCGGAAGAAUAAGCACCGGCUAACUACGU